UGUUGUACAGUAUUGUGACGGGGUGUUU
rnacentral:sRNA from 1 species